rnacentral:misc_RNA from 1 species
CAUGGGCUACAUUGGUAACAAGGUAUGUUCCAUAGAUUUUUAAGAUAGUUUUUGAAUGUUUUGAUUUUUUUUUAAUCUUUUUAACAUUUGUUUUUUUGAUUUUUAAUCUUCCAUUUGACUUAUUUUGCAACCUACUUUCAAUAACUUUUAUAAAGCAUAUAUUAGUAUGUAUGUAAAACCUAAUAAUAUUUAGUGGGUGAAAGGUUUUUGCAUUUUUAAAAUUGAAUUUACUUUCAUUGUAGAGUAUUUACCAAGAAUAAUUUUACUUUCUGAGAAUGUGCUAGACAUCAACUUCAUAGAAUACAGGAACUAGCUGAUGCAUACAUUCAGAGCAAUUUUGAAUAUUCUUGGUAGAACUUGUGCUAGAAGGUUUGCAUUCAUUUCUUUUAGAAAUAACCUGCUGAAAUACAAUCGCCUGAGAUCU